CCUCUUAUUUCACAAGAGGGGCAGAGAGAACAGAGGCCCGUUCUCCCCAGAACACACAUUUGUACGGAGCAGGGUCCUCUGGCCUCCACAAUGUCAACUUCUGCCUCCGGACCUAGCCCUCCUGCUUACCUGCUGCUGGCUCUGCUGUUGGGACUCACAGGUGUGGCAGGUGAGGCAGAGCUGCAGGUGAUCCAGCCUGAGAAGUCAGUGUCUGUUGUGGCUGGAGAGACAGUCACUCUGCGCUGCACCCUGACCUCCCUGAUCCCUGUUGGGAAGGUUGAGUGGUUCAGGGGGACCGGGCCAGGCCGGGAGUUGAUCUUCCAUUACAAAGGAGGCCACUUCCCCCGAGUAACAAAUGUUUCAGACUCUACAAAGAGGAACAACAUGGACUUUUCCAUCCGCAUCAGUAAUACCACCCCAGCAGACACGGGAACCUACUAUUGUGUGAAGUUCCAGAAAGGAAACCCCGAUGUGGAGUUGAAGUCUGGACCAGGCACCCUGGUCACCGUGAGUGCCAAACCCUCUCCCCCCGUGGUGUCCGGCCCCACGGCCAGGGCCACGCCUCAGCAGACAGUGAACUUCACCUGCAAGUCUCAUGGCUUCUCCCCCAGAAACAUCACCCUGAGAUGGUUCAAAAACGGGAAUGAACUGACAGCCUCUCAGACCAUUGUGUACCCAGAUGAAGACAAAGCUUCCUACAGCAUCUCUAGCACAACCAAGCUGGUGCUGGCCCCGGGGGACGUUCGCUCCCAGGUCAUCUGCGAGGUGGCCCACGUGACCCUGCAGGGGGGCCCUCCUCUUCGUGGGACUGCCAACUUGUCUGAGACCCUUCGAGUUCCGCCCACCUUGGAGGUUUCCCAGCACCCCACGGCAAGGGACCAGAUCUAUGUCAUUUGCCAAGUGGAGGAGUUCUACCCUCAGCGCCUACAGCUGACCUGGUUGGAGAAUGGAAACGUGUCUCGAACAGAAACUCCCUCAGUGGCCUCCAACCUCCUAGAGAACAAGGAUGGGACCUUUAACUGGACGAGCUGGCUCCUGGUGAAUUCAUCCACCCACAGGGAAGAUGUGGUGUUCACCUGCCAGGUGCAGCAUGACGGGCAGCCUGCAGACACCAAAAACUAUACCCUUGUGGCCUCUGCCUCCCAAAAGGACCAGAAAACACAGAAAACCCAAGAAAUGAAUUCCAUCCUGGUCUGAUGAAGAGAAAUGAUUCUCCUUCUUCUGCCUCCAUGUCCUACUCCUCAAUCCCAGUGUCUGCUCCACUGCUGACAGCCCUCCUCCUGAGCCCAAAGCUGCUGCUGCUCAUCACUGUCUCUGCCAUCUAUGCCCACAGGAAGCAAGGACCUAACUGUGCCCCAGGAGGAAAAUAGCACCAAGGACAUAGCAGACACGUGGGGAACAUUUCUGGAAUGAUGAGCAGAUAAUUAAAUGUGGACAUGGAUCCCACACCUCCUUCCUCCUCCCCUGCCACACGCCACCAUCAGUGUCUGCUGCCUCCUUCCUUCCCUGAGAGGCCCAGCCUAAGAGAAGGAACAACUAGACGCUUCCACAAUUCUGCUCCAUAUGCAUUGCUUCCCCCAGACGCCAGCCAACCCACAGAUCUUGCGGCUCCUUCUCACAGUCCUUCUGCCCUCAGCACUGGGUCUUCAUCCCUGGGCCUGAGCAGGAUCCAUGGGAACUUGCUCUGGGGACUUAUGUAAGGACAUAUGUCUGGAAUAUGAGGAACAGUUCACAUCUACACAUAUCAGGCAUCUCAACCAUCUCCUGGGGACUGUGGCCAUGAACUACACAGUCAUGUCCAUACUCUCAGGACGUAUUCCUGCCAAGCCCCAGAUUUCCCAGCCUUGGUGAGGUUCCCCAUUGUGUCUUGAACAGAAAUGAAUUCCAUCCUGGUCUUAUGAAGAGAAAUGAUUCUCCUUCUUCUGCCUCCAUGUCCUAUUCCUCAAUCCCAGAGAGAAAAUUCCUUCCUCCCAGUGAUUGAAAGGUUAGCUCUUCUGUCACCUUCAGCCAUCCCAACCCCACUGCUCAUGUACACCAGCUGGCAGUCCAGGAGGCCGGAGCCAUCCUUGAUAUCCUUUCAUUAUAUACCACAUUCAAUUCUGCCUUUGGAAUUCUAAGUCCCAAUGUUAAACAAUCUACUCCCAGAAAGGAAAAGAACCUGAUUUGUAGUGCUUAUGGACAUCUGUGGUGUCAACACUCCGACGUGGCCAAUGACAAGCUGCCAGCACUUUCACAAUUAGCUCACAAAACUCUCAGGAGUGAGUGUAAGCCUCCUCCCGCACACCAGUGAGCUCUACCCAGAGUCUGCACACUGUUCCCUCCCAGGGCUGCUUGCUCCCUGAUCCUGGCCACCAGCAUCUGUUCCUGGACCAUUGCUUCCUCUCUAGCAGGCCCUCUAGUUUCAGCCACAGUGAUUCCUUAAAAAUGGAAGUCAAAGUAUAUGUCUCCUCUGUUUCCUCCCCCUAAGGAUCUGCAUGACCGUCUCUCCCUCUUUCAAGUUCUGCUGACAUGUCACUUUAUUUAAAGCCCCUUACAUAAACCACCCUUAUAAAAUAUCAA